rnacentral:rRNA from 1 species
GAUGAACGCUGGCGGCGUGCCUAAUACAUGCAAGUCGAGCGAACAGAUAAGGAGCUUGCUCCUUUGACGUUAGCGGCGGACGGGUGAGUAACACGUGGGUAACCUACCUAUAAGACUGGAAUAACUCCGGGAAACCGGGGCUAAUGCCGGAUAACAUGUUGAACCGCAUGGUUCUACAGUGAAAGGCGGCUUUGCUGUCACUUAUAGAUGGACCCGCGCCGUAUUAGCUAGUUGGUGAGGUAACGGCUCACCAAGGCAACGAUACGUAGCCGACCUGAGAGGGUGAUCGGCCACACUGGAACUGAGACACGGUCCAGACUCCUACGGGAGGCAGCAGUAGGGAAUCUUCCGCAAGGGGCGAAAGCCUGACGGAGCAACGCCGCGUGAGUGAUGAAGGUCUUCGGAUCGUAAAACUCUGUUAUUAGGGAAGAACAAAUGCGUAAGUAACUGUGCGCGUCUUGACGGUACCUAAUCAGAAAGCCACGGCUAACUACGUG